rnacentral:rRNA from 1 species
CCUACGGGAGGCAGCAGUGGGGAAUAUUGCACAAUGGGGGAAACCCUGAUGCAGCGACGCCGCGUGAGUGAAGAAGGAUCACGGGAUGUAAAGCUCGAUCAGCAGGGAAGAAAAGGACGGUACCUGACUAAGAAGACGCGGCGAACGACGGGCCAGCAGCAGCGGUAAUACGUAGGGGGCAAGCGUUAUCCGGAUUUACUGUGUGGCAAGGGAGCGUAGCCGGCGCUGCAAGUCCGGGGUGAAAGCCCAUGGCGUUACCCUGGUACUGCUCUGGAAACUUUGGAGCUUUAGUGCGGUAGGGGCAGGCGUACUUCCUCGUGUAGCGGUUAUAUGCGUAGUUAUUUGG